UACGUAGGGGGCAAGCGUUGUCCGGAUUUGCUGGGUGUAACGGGUGCUCAGGUGGCUUUGUAAGUCAGCGGUGAAAUCUUAGAGCUCAACUCUGAAACUGCCGUUGAUACUACUUGGCUUGAGUAUGGAAGAGGUUGAUGGAAUUUCAGGUGUAGCAGUGAAAUGCGUAGAUAUCUGAAAGAACACCAGUGGCGAAGGCGGUCAACUGGUCCAUUACUGACACUAAAGCACGAAAGCGUGGGUAGCGAACAGG
rnacentral:rRNA from 1 species